ACCCGUAGAGCCAUCUUAUCUUCUUCUCCGUCCUCGUAUCGUAACUAACAGAAAGAGAUUAAGAACCAGAGAGAAAAAUAAACGAGAAGAAAAUAAGAGUUGCAGUGAGGGUACAGUAGUAGUGAGUGCUGAUUGGGUGAGGAAUUAGUUAGAAGUUGGUGUUUAUGGGAGACUUUAUAUCGUGGAGAUGAAGGAAGAAGAAAUUAGAUACGUUGGUCGAAGAACUUGAAGAUAAUGGAUGGAAGAAAUAUCAAAGAAGGAGAUCGCGAUAAACCAUGAUGAAGGGUAUGUUCGUGUAGAUAUUUUUGUGCUCGGCAGGUCAGGGUUGACAACAUCCCUGGAUUGAGAUAUUGCAAAUGUUUUUGUUAAGAGAUAAACUUUCCUGUUGAGAAUAUUGAUCUCGAUGAUUAUGAUUGAAAAAGUGAGGAAGGACUUGAAGGAUCUGAAGGGGCAUGAAGAUAUUUCCAUUUCGAAGUACAAAACCUAAUGUCCAAAGACAGUAGGUUAUCCAAUUGAUUUUCAGUACCCUCUUUGUUCUCUCUUUGAAGAUUUUGCCAGAGAAGCUUGAAGCUUGUAAGAAGUUAGCAAUAGCUAAUUCUAAUUUAUUUUCUAUCUCAACUGUAUUGGCUCAAUUUCACCUUCUCUUUUUUGGCCAUUAAUGGUUAAGUGGAAGACAAAACAAGUUUUCUCGCCGAAGUCGUGUAAUAUAUGAUUAAUGGAAUAAAGAUUGCUCAUAGGGUUUGACUGCUCGAGCGUAG